rnacentral:rRNA from 1 species
AACUCUCAACGACGGAUAUCUUGGCUCUCGCCAACGAUGAAGAACGCAGCCGAAAUGCGAUACGUAGAUGUGAAAUUGGCAGAACUUCCGAUGCAACCAUCGAAUUUUUGAACGCAUAUUGCGCUCAAGGUUUCGGCCAAGAGCAUGUCUGCCUCAGCGUCG